rnacentral:rRNA from 1 species
GAUGAACGCUGGCGGCGUGCCUAAUACAUGCAAGUCGAGCGAAUGGAUUAAGAGCUUGCUCUUAUGAAGUUAGCGGCGGACGGGUGAGUAACACGUGGGUAACCUGCCCAUAAGACUGGGAUAACUCCGGGAAACCGGGGCUAAUACCGGAUAACAUUUUGAACCGCAUGGUUCGAAAUUGAAAGGCGGCUUCGGCUGUCACUUAUGGAUGGACCCGCGUCGCAUUAGCUAGUUGGUGAGGUAACGGCUCACCAAGGCAACGAUGCGUAGCCGACCUGAGAGGGAGAUCGGCCACACUGGGACUGAGACACGGCCCAGACUCCUACGGGAGGCAGCAGUAGGGAAUCUUCCGCCAUGGACGAAAGUCUGACGGAGCAACGCCGCGUGAGUGAUGAAGGCUUUCGGGUCGUAAAACUCUGUUGUUAGGGAAGAACAAGUGCUAGUUGAAUAAGCUGACACCUUGACGGUACCUAACCAGAAAGCCACGGCUAACUACGUGCCAGCCGCCGCAGUAA